CAGUCGCCGCGGUAAUACGGAGGGUGCGAGCGUUAAUCGGAAUUACUGGGCGUAAAGAGUGCGUAGGUGGUUAAUUAAGUUAUCUGUGAAAUUCCUGGGCUUAACCUGGGCAGGUCAGAUAAUACUGGUUAACUCGAGUAUGGGAGAGGGUAGUGGAAUUUCCGGUGUAGCGGUGAAAUGCGUAGAGAUCGGAAGGAACACCAGUGGCGAAGGCGGCUACCUGGCCUAAUACUGACACUGAGGCACGGAAGCGUGGGGAGCAAACAGGAUUAGAUACCCCAGUAGUCCCUGUCUCUUAUAC
rnacentral:rRNA from 1 species